UACCUAAAACGUUGCUUCGGCGGGAACAGACGGCCCUGUAACAACGGGCCGCCCCCGCCAGAGGACCCCUAACUCUGUUUUUAUAAUGUUUUUCUGAGUAAACAAGCAAAUAAAUUAAAACUUUCAACAACGGAUCUCUUGGCUCUGGCAUCGAUGAAGAACGCAGCGAAAUGCGAUAAGUAAUGUGAAUUGCAGAAUUCAGUGAAUCAUCGAAUCUUUGAACGCACAUUGCGCCCGCCAGUAUUCUGGCGGGCAUGCCUGUUCGAGCGUCAUUACAACCCUCAGGCCCCCGGGCCUGGCGUUGGGGAUCGGCAGAAGCCCCCUGUGGGCACACGCCGUCCCUCAAAUACAGUGGCGGUCCCGCCGCAGCUUCCAUUGCGUAGUAGCUAACACCUCGCAACUGGAGAGCGGCGCGGCCAUGCCGUAAAACACCCAACUUCUGAAUGUUGACCUCGAAUCAGGUAGGAAUACCCGCUGAACUUAAGCAUAUCAAU
rnacentral:rRNA from 1 species